rnacentral:rRNA from 1 species
UACGUAGGGGGCAAGCGUUGUCCGGAAUCAUUGGGCGUAAAGCGCGUGUAGGCGGCUCGAUAAGUCUGCUGUGAAAGUCCAGGGCUCAACCCUGGGAUGCCGGUGGAUACUGUCGAGCUCGAGUCCGGAAGAGGCGAGUGGAAUUCCUGGUGUAGCGGUGAAAUGCGCAGAUAUCAGGAGGAACACCAAUGGCGAAGGCAGCUCGCUGGGACGGUACUGACGCUGAGACGCGAAAGCGUGGGAGG